AGAGUUUGAUCCUGGCUCAGGAUGAACGCUAGCGACAGGCCUAACACAUGCAAGUCGAGGGGCAACAUGGUGUCAGCUUGCUGAUACCGAUGGCGACCGGCGCACGGGUGAGUAACGCGUAUGUAAUCUACCUGUAACAGAGGGAUAACCCGGAGAAAUCCGGACUAAUACCUCAUAGUACAUAUUAUUCGCAUGAGUUUUAUGUUAAAGAGAUUCGGUUACAGAUGAACAUGCGUUCCAUUAGCUAGUUGGCGGGGUUACGGCCCACCAAGGCAACGAUGGAUAGGGGUUCUGAGAGGAAGGUCCCCCACACUGGUACUGAGACACGGACCAGACUCCUACGGGAGGCAGCAGUGAGGAAUAUUGGUCAAUGGGCGAAAGCCUGAACCAGCCAAGUCGCGUGGAGGAAGACGGCCCUACGGGUUGUAAACUUCUUUUACCUGGGAAUAACGGGCGCUACGUGUAGCGCUGUGCAUGUACCAGGCGAAUAAGCAUCGGCUAAUUCCGUGCCAGCAGCCGCGGUAAUACGGAAGAUGCGAGCGUUAUCCGGAUUUAUUGGGUUUAAAGGGAGCGUAGGCGGGCUUUUAAGUCAGCGGUCAAAUGUCACGGCUCAACCGUGGCCAGCCGUUGAAACUGCAAGCCUUGAGUCUGCACAGGGCACAUGGAAUUCGUGGUGUAGCGGUGAAAUGCUUAGAUAUCACGAAGAACUCCGAUCGCGAAGGCAUUGUGCCGGGGCAUAACUGACGCUGAGGCUCGAAAGUGCGGGUAUCAAACAGGAUUAGAUACCCUGGUAGUCCGCACGGUAAACGAUGAAUGCUCGCUAUGGGCGAUAUAUUGUCCGUGGCCAAGCGAAAGCGUUAAGCAUUCCACCUGGGGAGUACGCCGGCAACGGUGAAACUCAAAGGAAUUGACGGGGGCCCGCACAAGCGGAGGAACAUGU
rnacentral:rRNA from 1 species